rnacentral:precursor_RNA from 12 species
CUCCCAAUCUCUGAUCUCCGGAUGCCCGAUUGUGUAGAGGUGAGAAAGAUGCCGUGUUGUGUCUUGGUAAAUUUCUCGCCUUUCACAACUGAGGAUCUUGGGCUCUGCUACUGUCCCCC